rnacentral:rRNA from 1 species
GUACACUCCUGCGGGAGGCAGCAGUGGGGAAUUUUGGACAAUGGGCGAAAGCCUGAUCCAGCAAUGCCGCGUGAGUGAAGAAGGCCUUCGGGUUGUAAAGCUCUUUUGUCAGGGAAGAAACGGUGAGAGCUAAUAUCUUUUGCUAAUGACGGUACCUGAAGAAUAAGCACCGGCUAACUACGUGCCAGCAGCCGCGGUAAUACGUAGGGUGCAAGCGUUAAUCGGAAUUACUGGGCGUAAAGCGUGCGCAGGCGGUUUUGUAAGUCUGAUGUGAAAUCCCCGGGCUCAACCUGGGAAUUGCAUUGGAGACUGCAAGUCUAGAAUCUGGCAGAGGGGGGUAGAAUUCCACGUGUAGCAGUGAAAUGCGUAGAUAUGUGGAGGAACACCGAUGGCGAAGGCAGCCCCCUGGGUCAAGAUUGACGCUCAUGCACGAAAGCGUGGGGAGCAAACAGGAUUAGAUACCCUAGUAGUCCC